rnacentral:rRNA from 1 species
UACGGAGGGGUGCAAGCGUUAAUCGGAAUUACUGGGACGUAAAGCGUGCGUAGGCGGUUCGUUAAGUCUGUUGUGAAAGCCCCGGGCUCAACCCUGGGAAUGGCAAUGGAUACUGGCGAGCUAGAGUGUGUCAGAGGAUGGUGGAAUUCCCGGUGUAGCGGUGAAAUGCGUAGAAGAUCGGGAAGAACAUCAGUGGCGAAGGCGGCCUGCUGGGCUGUUGCUGACGCUGAGGCGCGACAGCGUGGGGAGCAAACAGG